GCCGGCAUGGCCCUGGGCAGGGCGGUUUCUUCAGCCUUGGGGAAGGGCUGACAGCUGAAGUCAGGCUGCAGGCAGCCCUCCAGCAGCCGAGGGUGUAAGUCCUUCCUUCCGGAAGAGGGAACACAGCCGCUACCAUCACCCUGCCUCCCCCGGAGGACGGCUGAACUGAGGCUUCGCCAAAUCGCAACGGGGGCAUUCCUCAGGAUUCCUGCCUCCGCACAGAGGCCAGCCUGGCCUCCUUUCCUGCUGCAUCUCCUCCCACCUCUCCUCCCAUGCCUCUUUUCUUCCCUCUUCUCUGCAGGGGCUAUUCCAGAGGUUUUCAAAAUUUGAAAGGCCGUCCCAUCCGGUGGGCCAGCGGAACUGCCCUAAUUGAGGCCGAAGGUCAGGGAGCCCCUCCCUCUGGCCACCGUUGUCUUGCUGUAAAACACUGUAAUCUGUAAAAAGCUGGCUGGCUGAACCCAGAGCAUUUUUUUCCUUUCUAAUUGGGCGGUUCCAAACUUCACCACAGGGGGUGCUAAACUGUCACGGGCUCUUUUAUCUGUGUCAACAGGAGCAGGAAACGUACAGUUGUUAUGUGUCUGUAAUGUAAAUUCCGUGUCCGGAUGUAUGUAUCUGUUCGGUUUCAUCUACUUUAGGAGAAGGUAGUCGGCCUAAUUGGGGACACGCAUUUAGGAACAGUCGGCCAUUUUAUCACGAGUCCACGCUCCAGAGCCCCCCAAGACCUGAGCUUCAAUCAGCACCAGAGCUCUUGUUCAUUAGUAUAAAGGGCCUUAGAAACGAGUUCCCACUGGCGGAAGCAGUUCGAGGCGGGGGGAUUGGUCAGGAAUAGGAGCGGUACUUCGGCUCUUGCAGGUGCAGACCGGGAAAAUCUGGUGUGCUCCGUGGUUGGUUCUCGUAGGAACGGCACCAUGGGCUUGAUUCUUAAGUGGCCCUGCGUGCAUCUAGCGGCUGAUGUGGUGGAUUGGGCGCGCCUGGAGUCGGACUAGAAGGUUAGAGAAUCCCGCUGCAAGACUUUCCUUGCAUUUGCCUCAGGCACACUUUCCUGAGAGGCGGCUGCUAGAGCUUUUAAAGGAUGGAGGGCUGGAACGUCACGGAAUUCACAGAACCAGCUAUAUGGCUGCUUUGCGUAGCUUGUUCAGAACUUGGCCUGAAGACUUCCUUUCACAAUAUCCUGGUGGCAUGGUAUGGAGAGAGGCCCUACUCCCUCGCCCACCUCGAAAAAGCCUGGUCCUGAGGGGUGGAGAGUCAAAGUCACCAGGAAACAGAGGGUUCUCAGCCAGCGCUAUUGUGCUCACCUGUAUCAGGAAGUGGAGCUUCUGAGUUAUCGUUAAAGUGAAGAAAUGUCAUUAUUUGUUUGAACCUUCUUCUCGUCAUAAUCUUUGGAAAGGUUAUUACAUUCAGUAGUUACACCUGACACACCUGUAAAGUCUUCUAAUUUUCGUGAAAUGUGAAGUCUUCUAAUUUUCAAUCCAGUCUUCUGUAGAAGCAAAGGAGCAUUCUCCAGCACCAUAGAGGAGGAGAAAACACAGAGGAGAAGAGGGCCAUGCGAAGACAGAGGCGGGAGUGAUACAGCUACAAAGAAUGCUGACAGCCACCAGAAGCUGAAAGAGGCAAAGGAUUCUUCCCUAGAGCCUCCAGAGGGAGCAUGACCUGACCUUGAUUUCAGACGUCUGGCUUCCAGAAUAGUGAGAGGAUCCACUUCUGUUGUUUUAAGCCACCCAGGUUGUGGUCAUUUGUUAUGAUGGCUUCAGGGAACGAAUACACCUUCCAAUGAUUUUGUAAGCACCGGCUUUCCUGUAUUAAAUCCCUUUCUGCAUAAAAUACCUGGAGCAGUUUCUGUUCCUUGCACUGAACCCUGAGUGGUACAACUCCUUUCCCAUCCUGUCAAUGGAAGACCAAGCAAGCCAGAACGCAUAUGGUGAAUAGGACCCAGGGACAUACUUAGAUUUGAGGCUUGUAACAUUGUACCAUCCGUGGUUCUGCCGGCGGCCUCACAGGCAGGUAUAUUUUUUGGGCAGAGCUCACCUCUGCCAAGAGCCCAGAACCUUCGCAGUCUGGGAAUACGGAGCCAGGCGGGACCCAGUGAUGCCCGCCUCUCUUUCCUUUAUCCCACGGAGUCCAAAAAGAGCUGGAAGCCACCACAACAGGAUGGAGAGUCUCUACCCGAAUGUCAAUAAGAGGCUCCAUCCACAGUCACUUCCUAAAGAACAGGCGGUCUUGGUCUGCUUUCUUUCUCCAUACCGCAACUCUACAUUUCAGCAAGAUGAAGAUGUGGGUGACUCUGAAUCUGUGUGUCUGUGUUUCUGUGUGUACACGUGUAUGCAUUUCUGUGAGUUUUUUGUGUUUGGAUGUGUGCAUGUAUUUGUGUGUGCAUAUAUAGGUAU